GCCAACCCGACGGGGGCGGCGGCGGCGAGCGAGCGCCUGGGCCUCGGCUGGCACCCCGUCGGCCCCUCCGCGUGCGUCCGGCAUGCGGCGAGGAGGUUAGCAAGGCCGAGGCCAGCGGAUGCGCAGCAAGAGGGCAAAGGGAUGAGAACGGAAGGAGCUGCUAACCUGGGCUAGCAGGACGGCGCGGGGAAAACCCCUGCGUACAGCGCGGCCUCUGCGACCGGAGCAACGCGGUGUCGCCCGAAUCCGGCCGUGCAGGCCUCCGGCCGAGGACACCCCAGAAAAGUCGAGCUUCCCACCCCCUGGGAACCCACCUUCCUGCAUUUUCUCGCGCUGCCCUGGGUGCAGAUGUCCAGAACCCCCAUGUGCUUUGCGCUGUUGAUCCGCAUCACAGUCGUCAGGGGAAACUCGCCAAAGCACAGGUGCCCGGCCGCAUCCCAAAGGUUCUGAUUAUGGAAGCCGGCUUACUGAAUGGGGUUAGCUUCUUUAAAAAACUGUUGCAACAGUGAAUAGGCACAGGACUAUGAAGAAGGGAAGAGAGCAGACUCCCAACUGCAAAAUGAAUAAUGCAAUAAAUGGAUUAAUACAGAACAUGAAUUUUCUGCAGCUAAUUUACAGAUAUAUGACUUACUAUGAAGUGAUCAUCAGGGUUGUAUCCUUUCACCAUCUGUAUGCUGGGCAAAUAAUCUGAGAAGAUGGACUGUAUGAAGAAGAACGUGGCAUGAAGACUGGAGGAAGACUCAUUAACAACCUACGA